CUAAAUACUACCCAGUGACCGAUAGCGUAUAGUACUGUGAAGGAAAGGUGAAAAGCACCCCGGGAGGGGAGUGAAAAAGAACCUGAAACCCUGUGCCUACAAGCACCUAGAGCACGUCAAUGUGUGAUAGGGUACUUUUUGUAGAACGGUCCGGCGAGCGAUUGUAUGCAGCAAGGUUAAGGACUUAAGGUCUGGAGCCGAAGCGAAAGCGAGUUUGAAAAGGGCGUUAAGUUGCAUAUAAUGGGCCCGAAACCGGGUGACCUACCCAUGGUCAGGUUGAAGUGGAAGUAAAAUUCCAUGGAGGACCGAACCGACCUCCGUUGAAAAGGCGGCGGAUGAACUGUGGGUAGCGGAGAAAUUCCAAUCGAACCCGGAGAUAGCUGGUUCUCCCCGAAAUAGUUUUAGGACUAGCCUCAAGUUAGAUACCUGGAGGUAAAGCACUGAAUAGCCUAGCGGCCGAGAGGUUAGCGAAGCUUAUCAAACUCAGAAUGCCAGAGUAUUGAUGCUUGGGAGUCAGACAGUGUCAGAUAAAUGUCAUUGUCAAAAGGGAAACAGCCCAGAUCUACAGCUAAGGUCCCAAAGUCAGGUUAAGUGGAAAACGAUGUGAAGAUACGCAGACAACCAGGAUGUUGGCUCAGAAGCAGCCACUCAUUCAAAGAGUGCGUAAUAGCUCACUGGUCGAGCGUCUUUGCGCGGAGAAUUUAACGGGGCUAAACCUGACACCGAAGCUUAGGCAAUCCAGUAAUGGAUUGGGUAGGGGAGCGUUGUAUACGCGGAGAAACAGUAGCGUAAGCGGCUGUGGAGUGUAUAGAAGUGAGAAUGCCGGAAUGAGUAGCGCGAAUGCAGUGAGAAUCUGCAUGGCCGAAAGCCUCAGGUUUUUGGAGGAAGGUUCGUCCGCUCCAAGUUAGUCGGGAGCUAAGGUGAGGCCGGAAGGCGUAGCCGAUGCACAGACGGUAGAGAUUCCGUCACCACCAAAAGAGUUAAGCACAGGGACACAUUUGAAGUCUCAGAGCCGGGUGUUGGUUCCGGUAGAGAUCGAGGGAAGUUAGUACCGAAGUCUGGGAUGGAAGAUGGCGAGAAAAGCUGUGUGUAUUUCUGAGGUGCCCGUACCGCAAACCGACACAGGUAGGUAGGAAGAAGAUUCUAAGGCCAACGGGAGAAGGGUUGUUAAGGAACUCGGCAAAUUGACCCCGUAACUUCGGGAGAAGGGGUGCUCCAGAGAUGGAGCCGCAGAGAAUCGGCCCAAGCAACUGUUUACCAAAAACACAGGUUUGUGCUAAAUCGAAAGAUGACGUAUACGAGCUGACGCCUGCCCGGUGCUGGAAGGUUAAGAGGAGAUGUGCAAGCAUUGAAUCGAAGCCCCAGUGAACGGCGGCCGUAACUAUAACGGUCCUAAGGUAGCGAAAUUCCUUGUCAGGUAAG
rnacentral:rRNA from 1 species